GUCUAUGGCCAUGCCACCCUGAACAAGCCCAAUCCCAUCUGAUCUCAGAAGCUAAGCAGGGUCGGGCCUGGUUAGUGGAUGGGAGACCACCUAGGAAGACCAGGUGCUGUAGGCA
rnacentral:rRNA from 1 species